ACUUAUUUUUAAUAAAAGUGGAUAUAGAUGUAAAGCAAAUAUCCUUAAUAACCCAUGGACAUCCAUGGAUCUUUCCACUUAUUUAAAAAAAUAAAAAAAACACCACCAACAACAUCCUCUUUUCAUAGAUAAUGCAUCUUCAUCCCCACCACAAUACUAGCUAAGUACACAUAACACCGAAACAAAUCAAAGGAAAAGCAGCAGCAGCAACAACAAGAUUCACAGCACCAUCCCCAUCCAUAGGAGGGCCACCACACACACUCCUCUCAGCACCAACACUAUCUAGUGCCUCUUGUUAGCCACAUUGCACUGCAGCCUGAUCUCUCCCUUGUCACCGGUCAAGGGGUUAUUCUCAGUGAGAAUCUUAAUGCCCCUGCUGAACUCCUUGAAGAAGUACUCCUGGCUCUUCGCCAUCUUCAGCACAUAUGGACGAGUGCGCUUAUCAUAGGCGAGCUGGUGGUCGACCAGCAAGAGCCCCUUGUUGUCGAGGAUGUUGCGGUAAUAGUUGUUGUCCAGCACCAUCGGCGUGCCCCUGUCGUUGCGGACGUACUGGACCGCCUUCGGGUCCGGUAUCUCAGUGUGGCACUUCUUCAACAUGUGUGGUACAUGGUCUGGGUUAAGCUCUGGGUCGACUUCCGGGUAGAGGCGGUGGACGAGCUUCACGCAGUGCGUCCGUCCAACACUGUGAGCGCCUAAGAGGGCAACGACACCGGCGGUGUCGAUGCCCAUGGCGCCGAACUUGUCGAGUACGGACGAGAUGCUCUCGUUGUGGUCUGGGAGGUACUGCUCCAGCAGCUCGGCUCUGCUUCUCCUCCCAUCUCUCCUCCCGGUCUUGAGUGGAAUAUAAGGCCCGCCAACCGACACAAUGCCAUCCCUACCGGAGAGUACAAGAAUAUCAGCACAGGACACCACUCCGGGACACUCCCUCUCAACGGCCUCCUUGAUCUCGUCGAGGUACCGGAAGUUCCGCAGCCCGAAGCUCCUGUCGGUCUCCUUCUCCGACAAGCUCCUCCUCGUCGAGUCGAGCAACAGUGACGCAUCGCAAGACUCAACGGCGCAAUCGUGAAAAAUAUUUCUCAGCCAUGAGAAGGCGGUGUUCUUGUGGCGCUUGUAGAGCAGCUUCACCUGCUCCUUGAUGAUCUCCUCGGCUUGGGGGCAUGACUCCUUGUAGAAGUUCAUGACCAGGCCCGGGUCCUGCGCCUCCUCGGCGGCCGAGGAGGCUGCGAGGGAGAGGAGGGUGAGGAAGAGGAGGCCCCAAGAAUAACCCAUCUCUCAGUGAGGCUGGUGUGAGACUGGUGUGAUGGGUUAUUCUUGGGGGA
rnacentral:misc_RNA from 1 species